CCUACGGGAGGCUGCAGUGAGGAAUAUUGGUCAAUGGGCGUAAGCCUGAACCAGCCAAGUCGCGUGAGGGAUGAAGGUUCUAUGGAUCGUAAACCUCUUUUAUAAGGGAAUAAAGUGUGGGACGUGUCCUGUUUUGUAUGUACCUUAUGAAUAAGGAUCGGCUAACUCCGUGCCAGCAGCCGCGGUAAUACGGAGGAUCCGAGCGUUAUCCGGAUUUAUUGGGUUUAAAGGGUGCGUAGGCGGCCUUUUAAGUCAGCGGUAAAAUGUCCGGGCUCAACCCGGGCCGGCCGUUGAAACUGGGGAUCUUGAGUGGGCGAGAAGUAGGCGGAAUGCGUGGUGUAGCGGUGAAAUGCAUAGAUAUCACACAGAACACCGAUUGCGAAGGCAUCUCACGAAUCCGCGAUUGACGCUGAUGCACGAAAGCGUGGGUAUCAAACAGGAUUAGAUACCCGUGUAGUC
rnacentral:rRNA from 1 species